CUUUAUUGGAGAAAGCACAGGAACAAGACAGAUCUGCCUUUGCAUCCAGCUAAGCGUAGCCCAAGCCCACUGCCCAGGCUGGAGACCUUUCUGCUGAUCUUGUUGUGCCAUCAAGUCAUGAUGAGCCAGGGUCAGGAUCCAUUACCACCAUUGAUGUGCCCUUGCUGUCCUCAUAUCAUUGUGCUGAUGUAGAGCUGCAGUCAAAACCAGAAUCCAUUGACGUGCUGCCUGUGCCAUCGGUGUCAUUGCCUUAAAGUGCCUGCAUAGAGCCUCAGACAGAGAUAGAAACCACACAUAUUCCCCUGCUGCCCGUAGUGGCCUCACCUGCAAAGGCCCGUACCUGACUUGUGAAGACUGGUGGGAGGGUGUUUGUUCUAGACCACAAACGAUGGACAUCCCCAAUGAAGGAGGCCAUUGACAAAUUGCUUAACAAACAUCAUGAGAAGAAGGACAUCCUUAAGCUUGUGGAUCAGCAGUAUGCAGCAAUGGUUCAAAACUCCUGCACUGAUCCAAACACCAUGCUCCAUCUAACAACUAAACUACACAUUUCACAAUAUAUUAAGCACUAAGCCAAACGACUGAACACCAGUUCUUUUUUAAACACCAGUGAUGAGAAACUUAAUCAGAGACAGCACCUCUGACACUCCCUGACAGAGGGGAG